ACGCUCGACACCUACGGGAGGCAGCAGUGGGGAAUAUUGGGCAAUGGGCGCAAGCCUGACCCAGCAACGCCGCGUGAAGGAAGAAGGCUUUCGGGUUGUAAACUUCUUUUGUCAGGGAACAGUAGAAGAGGGUACCUGACGAAUAAGCCACGGCUAACUACGUGCCAACAGCCGCGGUAAUCUGAGCGGGCUGGCAAGGC
rnacentral:rRNA from 1 species